rnacentral:lncRNA from 1 species
GGGAGGAGAAGGGAGGAGGUGGGAGCCUUGUGAAAUGGGCCUUAUGGCCAUAUGAGCCUUGGUGUGAGGGCUGUGAUCUGAACGGGGCCAGGAAAAUCUGGGUUAGGCAGAGGCAGAGGCAGAGAGGCAGAGGCAGAGGCAGAGACUGUACUCCUAAAGAACUGUGAAGGCAGAACGCUGUGUGUGUGUGUGUGUGUGUGUGUGUGUGUGUGUGUGUGGUGUGACAGAGAGAGAGAGAGAGAGAAAGAGAGAGAGAGAGAGAGAGAGAGAGAGAAUGAGAGAGAGAGAGAGAGAGAGAUCUCAGCAGUUAAGAGUACUAGUUUUCCAGAAGCUCUUAGUUCCAUUCUCAGUAUUGUUGGGAACGGACAUCUGUUGAUUCACAGCCGCCUGUGCAUCUUAUUCGUGCCUGCAUCUUGCCUUGUGGGAAGUCGAAUGCAGCACUGUAAGGGUUAACAGAACUCAGCCCACCUCCACUGCCCCCUCGGGACUCAGUCCCUCAGAUAGAAAGGCUUGAAGCUGAGUUCUGAGGCUGUCUCCAGGCGCACUCUGACUUUAAUAAUAAGAUUGUUUACCAGGUGGUACAGCGCAUAGCAGCAGCUCGG